GACGAACGCUGGCGGCGUGCUUAACACAUGCAAGUCGAACGGAAAGGCCCUGCUUUUGUGGGGUGCUCGAGUGGCGAACGUGUGAGUAACACGUGAGUAACCUGCCCUUUACUUUGUGAUAACUUCAGGAAACUGGUGCUAAUACCUGAUAGGAGCUCCUGCUGCAUGGUGGGGGUUGGAAAUUUUCGGCGGUUGGGGAUGGACUCGCGGCUUAUCAGCUUGUUGGUUGGGUAGUUGCUUACCAAGGCUUUGACGGGUAGACGGCCUGUGAGGGUGACCGGCGACAAAGGGACUGAGAGACGGCACAGAGGGCUAAGGGAGGCAGAAGGGGGGAAUAUUGCACAAUGGGCGGAAGCCGGAUGCAGAAAGGCCGCGUGCGGGAUGACGGCCUUCGGGUUGUAAAAAGAUUUCGCCUGAGAAGAAGCGUGAGUGACGGUAAUGGGUAAAGAAGCAACGGCUAACUACGUG
rnacentral:rRNA from 1 species